CUUCAAUAUUCUAAUACACUAAUAUAUAUGGGUGCGUUAGUUUUAAUAUCAUGUGAUUUAAUUUUAUAAGACAUAUGAUUUGACAGGACGUUUAGUAACUUUGACCCCUAUUUCCUGCUUUAAGACUAUAUUUAAUGCAUUCACUGUGUGUUCUAUAUUGGCUUGACGAAGAUCGUGGUUACCAGUCAAAAUGAUGCUUUGUGUACUUAGACAAACACUGUAAUAAAGGGACACUGGAGUGUUAAAUAUUAGUUUUGGGACUUAG